UCUCAAAUAGUUUAGAGGGGGUUGGUGGAAGGAUGGUCUAAACCGUUGGUUUUCGAUUGCUUCGACCCGGGUUCGAUUCCCGCUUUGGGAA